rnacentral:rRNA from 1 species
UACGUAGGGGGCAAGCGUUGUCCGGAAUUAUUGGGCGUAAAGCGCGUGUAGGCGGCUCGAUAAGUCUGCUGUGAAAGUCCAGGGCUCAACCCUGGAAUGCCGGUGGAUACUGUCGAGCUCGAGUCCGGAAGAGGAGAGUGGAAUUCCUGGUGUAGCGGUGAAAUGCGCAGAUAUCCGGAGGAACACCAGUGGCGAAGGCGGCUUUCUGGACCGACACUGACGCUGAGGCGCGAAAGCUAGGGGAGCAAACGGG